GACCGUGCAAAGGUAGCAUAAUCAUUUGCCUUAUAAUUGAAGGCUAGUAUGAAUGGUUUGACGAGAAUUAAGCUGUCUCUUUUCAACUAAAUAUAACUUUAUUAAUAGGUGAAGAAGCCUAUAUUAAAUUGAAAGACAAGAAGACCCUAUCGAGCUUUAAAUAAUUUGACAGAUUAAUAGUAUAUUAAUUAAAAAAAUUAAACUAAAAAGAAUUUUGGUUGGGGCGACCAAGGAACAAAUAAAGCUUCCUUUAAUUUAAUAGAAUACAUACAAGUAUUGAUCCAGUGAGACUGAUUAAAGGAAUUAGUUACCGUAGGGAUAACAGCAUAAUCCUCUUUGAGAGUCCCCAUCGAAAAGGGGGUUUGUGACCUCGAUGUUGGACCAGAAUACCCAGAAGAUGCAGCCGUCUUCAAUGGUUGGUCUGUUCGACCAUUAAAAUUCUACGUGAUCUGAGUUCAGACCGGCGUGAGCCAGGUCAGUUUCUAUCUUCAAUUAAUAAAAUAGCUUUAGUACGAAAGGACCAAGCUAUUGCAAUAUUUUGUUACAAACUGAUUAGAUAUAAAUAUCUAUUGAGCUAAUAAUGGAAUCAAAUUAGCAAAGAUUAAUGCAAUUGACUUAGGAUCAAUAGACAUAGGCGGAACUCCUUUAUUUGAUAAAUGAGCAGCAUAAAGAUGGCAGAAUAA
rnacentral:rRNA from 1 species